rnacentral:misc_RNA from 1 species
GAUGAAGAAGCAGCGAAAUGCGAUAAGUAAUGUGAAUUGCAGAAUUCAGUGAAUCAUCGAAUCUUUGAACGCACAUUGCGCCCGGUAGUAUUCUGCCGGGCAUGCCUGUUCGAGCGUCAUUUCAACCAUCAAGCCCCAGCGCUUGUGUUGGGGGCCUGCGGCUGCCGCAGCCCCCCAAAAGCAGUGGCGGGCUCGCUAUCACACCGAGUGCAGUAGUUCAUCUUCUCUCCGGUCUUGUGAGGCGGGUUCCGGCCGUGAAACACCCCACUACAUUCAAGGUUGACCUCGGAUCAGGUAGGAAUACCCGCUGAACUUAAGCAUACAAUAAGCGGAGGA